rnacentral:rRNA from 1 species
UACGGGGGGGGCAAGCGUUGUUCGGAAUUACUGGGCGUAAAGGGUUUGUAGGUGGCUUGCUAAGUCAGACGUGAAAUCCCUCAGCUUAACUGGGGAACUGCGUCUGAUACUGGCAAGCUUGAGUGCAGGAGAGGAACGCGGAAUUCCAGGUGUAGCGGUGAAAUGCGUAGAUAUCUGGAGGAACACCGGUGGCGAAGGCGGCGUUCUGGACUGUAACUGACACUGAUGAACGAAAGCCAGGGGAGCAAACGGG